UGCAAUACGAAAUAUUGAUUGAACGCGUCCAACAGCAAAUGUCUGGACUUCCGAUCCGCUGGCGUCCCGAAGUGAACGGUAAAAUGCUCCACCACAUCGUCGGCCUGCCUCUACUGACGUCCAAGUGACCAAAGCGAAACAGUGCUACUGCACGUGACAUAAACGACACGGGUUCCUCUGAGGUUGGGAAAAAAAUGUUAUGACAAAUAUAAUAAUUAAGAUGAACGACUAUCACAAGUAAAAUCAUGAAGAUAAUGGACUUCACAGCAUAUGGGAUCUCUGAAAACAAAGAGACGCGUAUUAGGUUUUACAUAAUAUUACAACGGAGACAAUACUGCACGGUCUCGGCCACCUGGCAUUUAAAACACCCAUCAUUAACCCAUAUCAUUAUGAAGAUGUCACUAUGUUAGCACACUAUUGGUU